CUUUUUAAAAACACUUCCUGGAAAAAUUACACAGCUGCAAGGAAUGCUGGGAAAUGUAGUCUUUAUUUCAAGAAACAAAGCAGGAGACAAGUAGCAGUCCUUGCCACAGUCCACUCAUCCACACAUGCUCUUUCUUUCCACAUAUAGACCCCCUCCCUUUGAGACAUAACUCCAAAGUGUCAUCUGGUUACUGCAUUAAACUCAAAGCCCAGAAUCUCUGGGUGCCAAUUCAUUCAUCCCCAUCAUGGCAAGAUGUAGCCACUCACAGUCCAGAAACCCACAAACUAAAAGUUAUUUGCCCUAUCCCUUCACUCUUACUCAAUAUAUAAUGGUAAAACAGGACUAGGAUAACUUUAACUAAAAUUCCAGUUGACUAAGGAGAAAACAGGAAACUUUCACACAACCCCGUCGGCACUGGUCCAUAGAAAUUAUUGAACUCUGCUGGGCAGGAAUCGCAAAGGCUGCCUGGCCUGGGAAUGGAGUUCCUUGAUUAGCCUACCAGGCAGCCCUUGGGUCUGCCCUCUAUGAUGAACUCUUUCACUUACUGUCCUUCAUAUGUUGACAUACUGUCUUUCACAUGUUGAAGCCCCAACCCCCAAUGUGACUACAUUUGGAGAUAGGGCCUUUAAGGAAGUAAUUAAGGUUAAAUGAGGUCAAAAUGGUGGUGCCCUAAUCCAAUAUGAUGGUAGUCCUUGAAAGAAAAGAGAAAGAGUCAUGAGAGGAAAGGCCACAUGAGGACACAGUGAGAAGGUGGCUGUCUACACAGCAAGGAGAGAGACCUCAGGAGAAGCCAAAUGUGCUGACAUCUUCACCCUGGACUUCUAGCUUCCUGAACUGUGAGAAAAUACAUUUCUGUUGUUUAAGCCCCCCAGUCAGUGGUAUUUUUUGAUGGCAGCCCCAGAAGACUAAUCCAGUCCUCCUGGCCUCUAGCUUUGCUAUUUCAGAAGUUCUUCCUUGCAGGCAAUAUAAUUCUUUCAAAUAGGAAGGCAUUUUUAUUUACUUUCUGUCAAUUCUCUGUCCUUGUAAUCACAGCCAAAGAGCCUGUCGAGACAUUGAGUUUUUUGUUUUUAAGCCUGAAGACUUGUCUUUUACUUAUCGGUUGUGGUAUUCUGCCCAUCCGUUUCUCUCUCAUCUUAAUGGCAGCUACCUCGAAGUUGUUUACAACAGGCUUGAGUGCGAAGAAACAACCCUUAAUCUACUCUCUGCCAGCUGGUCGAUGCUUUUGUAUAAUGAGGCACUAGUUUUAUCUCCUGCCAAAGCUGUAGGUUUUCAGCCACUGCUUACACCUGGUUGAGCUGGGGUGCAGAAGCUGUUGCUCUUCUCAUCCCUGCAAGGGCCCAAAUUAUCAACUUGGACUGCAGGCCUCUUGUAGCAAAACUGUAGGCCCUUCUGUCUGUUUCUAUACUGCCUGUCUUAAGCCUGGAAGGCUUUGCUGAAAGUGUCAAGAAAGAGCCAAUACACACAGAAAUCAUUCAUCUUUCCUGUCAUUGGCCCUAAAGUUACAGCCUCGGUCAGCACAUGGUCUCUUUUCCAAGCCAAAGCAGGGAAAUGUUUGCCAUCAAAUCAUCAGGCUGCAAUUUGGAGUCUAUACCACCUGCUGCCCAGCUUCU
rnacentral:lncRNA from 1 species